ensembl:lncRNA
AGCCCAACCAUUGCCUGCAGCCCAGCCCAACACACUGCUACUGCCCAGCCCAACACACUGCUACUGUACAGCCCAGCCCAACACACUGCUACUGCCUGCCCAGCCCAACACACUGCUACUGCCCAGCCCAGCCCAACACUGCUACUGUACAGCCCAGCCCAACACACUGCUACUGUACUGCCCAGCCCAACACACUGCUACUGUACAGCCCAGCCCAACACACUGCUACUGCCCAGCCCAGCCCAACACACUGCUACUGUACAGCCCAGCCCAACACACUGCUACUGCCCAGCCCAACACACUGCUACUGUACAGCCCAGCCCAACACACUGCUACUGCCCAGCCCAACACACUGCUACUGUACUGCCCAGCCCAACACACUGCUACUGCCCAGCCCAACACACUGCUACUGUACUGCCCAACACACUGCUACUGUACCCCAGCCCAACACACUGCUACUGUACUGCCCAGCCCAACACACUGCUACUGUACUGCCCAGCCCAACACACUGCUACUGUACAGCCCAACACACUGCUACUGUACAGCCCAGCCCAACACACUGCUACUGUACUGCCAGCCCAACACACUGCUACUGUACUGCCCAGCCCAACACACUGCUACUGUACUGCCCAGCCCAACACACUGCUACUGUACUGCCCAGCCCAACACACUGCUACUGCCCAGCCCAACACACUGCUGCUACUGCCCAGCCCAACACACUGCUACUGUACUGCCCAGCCCAACACACUGCUACUGUACUGCCCAGCCCAACACACUGCUACUGUACUGCCCAGCCCAACACACUGCUACUGUACUGCCCAGCCCAACACACUGCUGUACUGCCCAGCCCAACACACUGCUACUGUACUGCCCAACACACUGCUACUGUACAGCCCAGCCCAACACACUGCUACUGUACUGCCCAACACACUGCUACUGCCCAGCCCAACACACUGCUACUGUACUGCCCAGCCCAACACACUGCUACUGUACUGCCCAGCCCAACAUACUGCUGCUGCUACUCCCAACACACUGCUACUGUACUGCCCAGCCCAACACACUGCUACUGAACUGCCCAGCC